AUUUGCCCGAACUGCUCCCAAAAGCAGGAAAGUGGGGGGGGGGAGAGAAGAGUUCAGUGGCAGAAAUGCUUUCUCUCUCUCUCUCUACACCCACCCACCAAGCCACUCACCCUCCACCACCACAACUGCAGAUGCAGGGCCGAAGGGGGCUAAAUUGGGCUUUUGUCAGAACCCGGCGAGAGAAUUGGCGAUCCGGGCGGGGAGUGUUCAACUGGUGGCGGGCAAGAAAAUCGACUCGUAAAAAAAAUGACCGAUGUCUCUGGCACCGGCACGGCGGGCGUUGUUCGGUGUUGGAGUUCGAUCCUAAGGGGCUCGAGAGAUGCGCGUCUGGAUUUUCGUCUCUACGGGGGAGGGGGGGGUUAACAAAAAAAAAGGUGGCAACGCUAAAUCCAAAGGCUUGACUUGUCACACGCACACCGGUGGCUAGGAGAUGUUAACUCCCUCGCCUAGCACGUGGGAGGUUCGUGGGUUCGAUCCCCGAUCCUGACGUUGCCUGUAUUUGCCGAGAUGUUAAUUCCCUCGCCUGGUACGCAGGAGGUCGUUGGGUUUCGAUCCCAGACCCUGAUGACGCCUGUAUUUGGCCAAGAUGUUAAUUCCCUGGCCUACAAAUUCGUCGCGGCGGCUGCAGCAGCUCUUGGGCGAUGGCAAAAAAAAAA